rnacentral:rRNA from 1 species
GGGAAUUUUGGACAAUGGGGGCAACCCUGAUCCAGCCAUGCCGCGUGUGUGAAGAAGGCCUUCGGGUUGUAAAGCACUUUUGUUCGGAACGAAACGGUUGAGGCGAAUAACUUCAGCUAAUGACGGUACCGGAAGAAUAAGCACCGGCUAACUACGUGCCAGCAGCCGCGGUAAUACGUAGGGUGCAAGCGUUAAUCGGAAUUACUGGGCGUAAAGCGUGCGCAGGCGGUUUUGCAAGUCAGAUGUGAAAUCCCCGGGCUCAACCUGGGAACUGCAUUUGAAACUACAAGGCUAGAGUGUGUCAGAGGGGGGUAGAAUUCCACGUGUAGCAGUGAAAUGCGUAGAGAUGUGGAGGAAUACCGAUGGCGAAGGCAGCCCCCUGGGAUAACACUGACGCUCAUGCACGAAAGCGUGGGGAGCAAAC